rfam:Capsicum annuum cultivar Zunla-1 chromosome 9, whole genome shotgun sequence
AUGACCUUACUUGAACAUGAUUUAUUCUAUAGGCUCGUACACUGUAUUCUUAAGUUCUAAGGAGAGACAAUACCAAAUCUGAUUGAUGAAGCAUGGCCUUAUGACCAAAGUGUGAUUAACAACCUUCUAUGGAUACUUGAGUUAUGGAGUAGUAGAUGAUCAUUCUUAGACCUGAUAUCAGGCUUAAGAUGGUCUCAAGAAGAUCUAACAAACU